rnacentral:rRNA from 1 species
CGUACACAAAAAUGCACAUGCUGUGAGCUCGAUGAGUAGGGCGGGACACGUGGUAUCCUGUCUGAAUAUGGGGGGACCAUCCUCCAAGGCUAAAUACUCCUGACUGACCGAUAGUGAACCAGUACCGUGAGGGAAAGGCGAAAAGAACCCCGGCGAGGGGAGUGAAAAAGAACCUGAAACCGUGUACGUACAAGCAGUGGGAGCACGCUUAGGCGUGUGACUGCGUACCUUUUGUAUAAUGGGUCAGCGACUUAUAUUCUGUAGCAAGGUUAACCGAAUAGGGGAGCCGAAGGGAAACCGAGUCUUAACUGGGCGUUAAGUUGCAGGGUAUAGACCCGAAACCCGGUGAUCUAGCCAUGGGCAGGUUGAAGGUUGGGUAACACUAACUGGAGGACCGAACCGACUAAUGUUGAAAAAUUAGCGGAUGACUUGUGGCUGGGGGUGAAAGGCCAAUCAAACCGGGAGAUAGCUGGUUCUCCCCGAAAGCUAUUUAGGUAGCGCCUCGUGAACUCAUCUCCGGGGGUAGAGCACUGUUUCGGCAAGGGGGUCAUCCCGACUUACCAACCCGAUGCAAACUGCGAAUACCGGAGAAUGUUAUCACGGGAGACACACGGCGGGUGCUAACGUCCGUCGUGAAGAGGGAAACAACCCAGACCGCCAGCUAAGGUCCCAAAGUCAUGGUUA